GCCGGGAAUGGUGGUGCAUGCCUGUAAUCCCAGCUACUCGGGAGGCUGAGGCAGGAGAAUUGCUUGAACCCGGGAGGCGGAGGUUGCAGUGAGCUGAGAUCGCACUACUGCACUCCAGCCUGGGCAACAGAGCAAGACCCUGUCUCAA
rnacentral:SRP_RNA from 1 species